rnacentral:rRNA from 1 species
AUUGAACGCUGGCGGCAGGCCUAACACAUGCAAGUCGAGCGAGCGGCGGACGGGUGAGUAAUGCCUGGGAAUUGCCCAGUAGAGGGGGAAAACAGAUGGAAACGACAGCUAAUACCGCAUACGAUUGGAUGGCUCAGGUGUGAAUAGCUAGUUGGUGAGGUACUGGCUCAACAAGGCGACGAACCCUAGCUGGUAUGAGAGGAUGUUCAGCCACACUGGAACUGAGACACGGCCCAGACUCCUACGGGAGGCAGCAGUGGGGAAUAUUGCACAAUGGGGGAAACCCUGAUGGAUCCAUGCCGCGUGUGUGAAGAAGGCCUUCGGGUUGUAAAGCACUUUCAGCGAGGAUGCGUUACUCGUAGAAGAAGCACCGGCUAACUCCGUGCCAGCCGCCGCGGUAAUUC